GGUCAAGCUACUAAGGGUAGGCGGUGGAUGCCUUGGCACCAGCAGGCGAUGAAGGGCGUGGUAAGCUGCGAUAAGCCCCGGGUAGCCGCACACAGGCGUUAAUCCGGGGAUGCCCGAAUGGGGAAACCCGAUGCCGUUUGUCCGGCAUCAUCCCGGCCUGAAUCCAUAGGGUCGGGAGGCGAACCGGGGGAACUGAAACAUCUUAGUACCCCGAGGAAAAGAAAUCAACCGAGAUUCCCCCAGUAGUGGCGAGCGAAAAGGGAACAGCCCAAACCGUUCCGAUGUUAAAGGCCGUAUCCGUUGUCGGAGCGGGGUCGUGGGGUCCUGUCGGGGUCCGGUACGGCGGAUCCAGGGAGUUACCAACCUUCGUCCUAACCGAACAGCCUGGAAAGGCUGGCCGUAGAGGGUGAUAGCCCCGUAGGGUAAAGGAAGAAGGCUCCCCGGGCGGGAUUCCCAAGUACCACGGGACACGGGAAAUCCUGUGGGAAUCUGGGGGGACCACCCUCCAAGGCUAAAUACUCGCUGGUGACCGAUAGUGCACGAGUACCGCGAGGGAAAGGUGAAAAGAACCCCUGUGAGGGGAGUGAAAUAGAACCUGAAACCGCUUACUUACAAGCAGUCGGAGGGCUAUGGUUCCGGCUUCGGUCGGGACAAUGCCUGACGGCGUGCCUUUUGUUUAAUGAGCCGGCGAGUUACUUUGUGCGGCGAGGUUAAGCCGGGAGGCGGAGCCGUAGCGAAAGCGAGUCCGAAUAGGGCGUUUAGUCGUACGGAGUAGACCCGAAUCCAGGUGAGCUACCCCUGGCCAGGCUGAAACGUGGGUAAAACCACGUGGAGGGCCGAACCGGUGUUGGUUGAAAACAGCUCGGAUGAGUUGGGGGUAGGAGUGAAAGGCCUAUCAAACCUGGUAAUAGCUGGUUCUCCCCGAAAUAGCUUUAGGGCUAGCCUCGCAUGGUCAGUGGUGGUGGUAGAGCACUGGAUGGGCUAGGGCCCUUACCCGGGUGCCGACCCCAACCAAACUCCGAAUGCCGCCAACUGCAGCGCGGGAGUCAGACUGCGGGCGAUAAGGUCCGUGGUCGAGAGGGAAACAGCCCAGACCGCCAGCUAAGGUCCCGAAAUAGAGGCUAAGUGGGAAAGGAUGUGUGGGCGCCCAGACAGCCAGGAGGUUGGCUUAGAGGCAGCCAUCCUUUAAAGAGUGCGUAACAGCUCACUGGUCGAGUGGCCGCGCGCCGAAAAUGUAACGGGGCUCAAGCCUCUUGCCGAAGCUGCGGAUUCGUUCCGAUUCGUCGGGACGAGUGGUAGGGGAGCGUUCUGCACUGAGUGAAGGCGGACCGUGAGGACCGCUGGACGGUGCUGAAGUGAUUAUGCCGGCACGAGUAGCGAUAAGGCAGGUGAGAAUCCUGCCCGCCGAAAGCCUAAGGUUUCCUGAGGAAGGGUCGUCCGCUCAGGGUUAGUCGGGUCCUAAGCCGAGGCCGAAAGGCGUAGGUGAUGGAUAACGGGUUAAUAUUCCCGUACCACCUGGCGGCGCACAAGUCCCGAUGGGGUGACGCAGGAGGGUAAGCCAGCCCGCGACCGGAAGUGCGGGUCUAAGCCCGUAGGAGGGCUCUGCAGGCAAAUCCGCGGGGCCGCUACCUCCGAGAGGUGAUGGGUACCUCCUCUGCAAGGAGGGGGGAACUGGUCCAACCACGCUGCCAAGAAAAACCUCUAGGGAGUCGUCGUCCGGUGCCCGUACCGCAAACCGACACAGGUAGGCAGGGAGAGUAUCCCAAGGCGCGCGAGAGAACGCUCGCUAAGGAACUCGGCAAAAUGGCCCCGUAACUUCGGGAGAAGGGGUGCCAUGCCAGGGUGAGGGAUCUCGCAUUCCAAGCCCUGGAAGGCCGCAGUGAAAAGGGCCAAGCGACUGUUUACUAAAAACACAGGUCUCUGCGAAGUCGUAAGACGACGUAUAGGGACUGACGCCUGCCCGGUGCCGGAAGGUUAACAGGAGGGGUCAUCUCGAGCAAUCGGGAGAAGCUCUGAAUCGAAGCCCCGGUAAACGGCGGCCGUAACUAUAACGGUCCUAAGGUAGCGAAAUUCCUUGUCGGNNGAAAUUCCUUGUCGGGUAAGUUCCGACCUGCACGAAUGGCGUAACGACUUGGGCGCUGUCUCGGCGAGUGGCUCGGCGAAACUGUAGUACCGGUGAAGAUGCCGGUUACCCGCGGCUAGACGGAAAGACCCCGUGCACCUUUACUGCAGCUUGGCAUUGGAUUUUGGUGUUGUAUGUGUAGGAUAGGUGGGAGGCGUUGAAGCGGGGGCGCCAGCUCUCGUGGAGCCAACCUUGAAAUACCACCCUUACUAUACUGGGCUUCUAACCUAGGCCCGUGAUCCGGGUCGGGGACAGUGCCAGGUGGGCAGUUUGACUGGGGCGGUCGCCUCCUAAAAGGUAACGGAGGCGCCCAAAGGU
rnacentral:rRNA from 1 species